UCAUGUUGUUUAAUUCGACGAUACGCGAAGAACCUUACCAGGUCUUGACAUCCCCUGCAAAGCUAUGGAGACAUAGUGGAGGUUAGUCAGGGAGACAGGUGGUGCAUGGUUGUCGUCAGCUCGUGUCGUGAGAUGUUGGGUUAAGUCCCGCAACGAGCGCAACCCUUAUUGCUAGUUACCAUCAUUAAGUUGGGGACUCUAGCGAGACUGCCAGUGAUAAACUGGAGGAAGGUGGGGAUGACGUCAAAUCAUCAUGCCCCUUAUGACCUGGGCUACAAACGUGAUACAAUGGCUGAAACAAAGGGCAGCGAAGGAGCGAUCUGGAGCGAAACCCAAAAAAGCAGUCUCAGUUCGGAUUGAAGUCUGCAACUCGACUUCAUGAAGUCGGAAUCGCUAGUAAUCGUGGAUCAGCCAAGCCGCGGUGAAUACGUUCCCGGGCCUU
rnacentral:rRNA from 1 species